UGAGGAAUAUUGGACAAUGGAUGGAAAUCUGAUCCAGCCAUGUCGCGUGCAGGAAGACGGCCCUAUGGGUUGUAAACUGCUUUUGUAUGGGAGCAAUAAGGACUACGUGUAGUUUGAUGAGAGUACCAUACGAAUAAGCAUCGGCUAACUCCGUGCUAGCAGCCGCGGUAAUACGGAGGAUGCGAGCGUUAUCCGGAUUUAUUGGGUGUAAAGGGUGCUCAGGCGGAUUUGUAAGUCAGAGGUGAAAUCUUACAGCUUAACUGUGAAACUGCGUUGGAUACUUCAAGCCUGGAGUAUGGAAGAGAGUGAUGGAAGAUCUGGUGUAGCAGUGAAAUGCGUAGAUAUCAGAUAGAACACCAAUGGCGAAGGCAGUCACUUGGUCCAUUACUGACGCUAAAGCACGAAAGCGUGGGUAGCAAGCA
rnacentral:rRNA from 1 species